UACGUAGGGUGCAAGCGUUGUCCGGAUUUAUUGGGCGUAAAGAGCGUGUAGGCGGCCAGACAGGUCCGCUGUGAAAACUCGAGGCUCAACCUCGAGAUGUCGGUGGAAACCGUCUGGCUAGAGUCCGGAAGAGGAGAGUGGAAUUCCCGGUGUAGCGGUGAAAUGCGCAGAUAUCGGGAAGAACACCCGUGGCGAAGGCGGCUCUCUGGGGACGGUACUGACGCCUGAGACGCGAAAGCGUGGGGAGCGAACGAG
rnacentral:rRNA from 1 species